GAGUGGCUACAUCACAGAGCUUCUGACCCUGAGAUCCAGAACAGUAGAAAACCCCAGGCAGAGCUGAAGACAGUGACAGAAGGGAUUAUUGCUUCUGAAGAAGAUCACCUAUUUUACCGUCUUUUACAACUUCAUUGUAGGAGGUGUGAAAGAGGAGGGAAAUUGUGUUGGGAUAAUGAAAUGCCAAUAUAGGAAUUGAAUGUCAGCUGCAGUGCUCAGAAGCAUAAGUGUGGUUUGAUACGUCUCAACAAGCUUCCAAUCAUGCAAAACUUGAGGGAACGAGGGGAAUAGCAAAGCUUGGCACUUUGGAAGCUUGAUAACAUCACAGCAU
rnacentral:lncRNA from 1 species